rnacentral:rRNA from 1 species
AGAGUUUGAUCCUGGCUCAGAUUGAACGUUGGCGGCAUGCCUUACACAUGCAAGUCGAACGGUAACAGGUCUUCGGAUGCUGACGAGUGGCGAACGGGUGAGUAAUACAUCGGAACGUGCCCGAGAGUGGGGGAUAACGAAGCGAAAGCUUUGCUAAUACCGCAUACGAUCUCAGGAUGAAAGCAGGGGACCGCAAGGCCUUGCGCUCACGGAGCGGCCGAUGGCAGAUUAGGUAGUUGGUGGGAUAAAAGCUUACCAAGCCGACGAUCUGUAGCUGGUCUGAGAGGACGACCAGCCACACUGGGACUGAGACACGGCCCAGACUCCUACGGGAGGCAGCAGUGGGGAAUUUUGGACAAUGGGCGCAAGCCUGAUCCAGCCAUGCCGCGUGCAGGAUGAAGGCCUUCGGGUUGUAAACUGCUUUUGUACGGAACGAAAAGACUCUGGUUAAUACCUGGGGUCCAUGACGGUACCGUAAGAAUAAGCACCGGCUAACUACGUGCCAGCAGCCGCGGUAAUACGUAGGGUGCGAGCGUUAAUCGGAAUUACUGGGCGUAAAGCGUGCGCAGGCGGUUAUAUAAGACAGAUGUGAAAUCCCCGGGCUCAACCUGGGAACUGCAUUUGUGACUGUAUAGCUAGAGUACGGCAGAGGGGGAUGGAAUUCCGCGUGUAGCAGUGAAAUGCGUAGAUAUGCG